CAGUGAACAUUUGUGAGCAGUUUUAGCCAAAACCUCUCACCCAAAAUGGGCCAAAUCUGUUGUAAUUUGCAUAACAAUAAGUUGCCCGUCGUAGUGCAAGCUGAAUACUCACUCUGCAGUUGGGCACAGAUGAGCGAAGACGCAACAUUAUGUGUGGUGAAUUCACAAGUUUAAGCUUUUAUAAGACGUAGAAGCAAGUAUAUGAUUACACUUGGGCAACCCAUUUAUGCUUAAAGAUUGACAUGCUGUCAAAGAUCUUUUUGUAAGAAGCCCACGGAGAAACUGUGCAACGUGGGCCUGCAAGCAACAAGGUCUUUGGUUGACAUAUAUCAUGCUCAUUUUCAUAUAUCUCUUAUAUCAAAUCCGAAUAAAUAUUACUAUAAUCCCUCGUUAUUUUUGUCAUGUUGAUAUAAAAUCCACAGUACAGCAAUAUUAAAAUGG